UUCCCUACACUAUUCUCUUCCGUUGGGCACUGGGAAGAGGAGCCCCCAGAGCAUUAGGCUUUGAAGGUCAGCGGGACUUAAUUGCAGGAGCUCCACA